UUAUAUACAGUAAUAGAGAUGAUAGUGGUAUAUUGAGUGAUAUAAUU
rnacentral:guide_RNA from 1 species